rnacentral:lncRNA from 1 species
UCAACCAGAUGCUCCGCAGGGCGCAGCUUUAUACGACCGCAGAGGUUGAACCCUGAACGGUUGGGGCAAGUAUGGACACAACAUUCAAGCUGGAUUCAGCUCUAAAUUUGGAUUGUGAUUAAAUAGUUGACACAGCAUAGGUUUCUGACACAGAAUGAAUGUGGUCUAAUGAACUUAAAAAAAAUAUGUUUGCCUUUGAACAAUUCACUAUGCUGUUGAAUAUUAAUCCUCUCAAAAAAAUGUUUGAAGAAAUUUUCUUUUUAUUUAUAAAAUCUGAAAUGAAAAAAAAUUGACCCCCCAAUUUUUUUUUCACCCUUUCCCUUAUUCCAAAACUGAUCUCAAUUCAAUUUCUAAUGAAGUUUGCAACAAUAACUACUCAUUUAAAUACAUCAUAAAAUAUUAAAAUGUAAAAAAAGUG